UUCUAUGCUCUUUAGGCCAAUAGCUAUGGUAGAUUAAGGUACUUCCGAUGAUCUGAGCCAUUAUCAAACAAACCAAACCUCCAAUUCCCAAUUUGAAUGCUUCACUUUCAGGCAGAAAGCAGAACUUGCCAUUCAAUUUCAGCCGCCAAACAUGAUGCGAAAGAGGCGAGUGUGAGGAUGGCAACAAUGGAAAAGCUUAUUACAAAGCUAGAAGAAGAGGGCUUUUCCAUGGCGGCUUGAAGAAGAAGAAGAUCGAAGGAAGAGAAGAAGAAGUGGGGAGUUUAAAUCAUGGUUUUGGAAGAAAAGGAAUGAAUCUUGGAGGUACGCCCUUUCCCAGAUACCGGUUUACCUGAAGCUUAUCAAACACAGGAAGGGGAUUGAAAUUCCACCAUACGAGAAGCCAAUAUAAAAAGGGGAAAUGAGUAGGAUGAAGAUGCAAGUUUUUUCCAAUAUUUGGGUUUCUCAACCCACUUCUUUUCAACAAUGGAGGAGUAUUAAGAGCCCCACAUGCUACUAUAGUCACCUUGGACUCAACCAAGCACAUCUGUUUGGCUGCUGAUCCACACCAGAAUUCAAACGCAACGCCUUUCGCCAUCUUGCGUUCUCUCCCGUGUUUCUUCUCCUGUCUGAUUUUAAUGGCUUCGCAGCCUGGAAGUAUAACGCCAUUUCCCGACCUUACCAAGUCCACAAGCCAUGUCUCUGCAGUCCCCUUCUUUCUCCCAUCCCUGCAGCCGAGACAGCACCAACCACAGUAAUGAUCAGAAGUUGAGUUUCUAGGAAUAUUGAUAGCAUGACCACCCAAUUCCUCACACCCUUUUCUUAAAACUGCAUUGUUAAACCCUUCAUUGUCAAUUUCUGAUUGAACUCCCAUUUUCUUACACACUACAUCAAUUGCUUCUUUGUAUAAAUUGCUUCUAAACAACUCCAAUUCAUACUCAUCUGACCAUUCUUUAGUUACAUGACUUGGUGUUUUAAUUGAAGCUGACCAAUUUACUGUUGACCCUCCACCAACAGUAGAGCCUGCAAGUAUAAGCACAUUCAUAUUAUCAGUUGCCACUAAACCACUUGAUUGAUACAUUUCUUCCAUGGCUGGCCCUUCUAGGAGUGACAGGUUUGAUGGAGGUUUGAAUUGGGGGUCACUUCCUGGGUAGUCGAUUGCUUUCCAUGAUAUGUUGUUCAUCUCCUCAUCAACCUGAUCCAGUGGCAGAGCAAGAGGUUUUAUUAGAGGGUAAUUAAACUCUUUUUAAACUCUUUGAACAUGUUACCUACACCCUAUUUAAUUUCUAAACUUUAAAGUUCGUGUCUAUUUGACCAUUAAACUUUUAAAAGUUCAUAAACUUUCGAUUCUGGGUCUAAUAAGUCUUUCACAAAUUUAAUUUUUUUUUAAAGACAAUUGAUCUAUCUGAUAUAAAU